ensembl:lncRNA
AUGGCGCCACCGCUCCCAGUGCCUCCCAGUUGCUCCCAGUAUGGCCCAGUCCAUCCCAGUAUGGCCCAGUAUGGCUCCCAGUCCAUCCCAGUCCAUCCCAGUAUGGCCCAGUAUGGCUCCCAGUGCCUCCCAGUUGCUCCCAGUCCAUCCCAGUAUGGCUCCCAGUCCAACCCAGUAUGGCUCCCAGUUGCUCCCAGUAUGGCCCAGUCCAUCCCAGUAUGGCCCAGUAUGGCUCCCAGUGCCUCCCAGUCCAUCCCAGUAUGGCUCCCAGUGCCUCCCAGUCCAUCCCAGUAUGGCCCAGUAUGCCUCCCAGUUGCUCCCAGUUGCUCCCAGUAUGGCCCANACUUUCACUUUCACUUUCUCAUUCGCCUUCACUUCCUCAUUCCCUUCUAUUUCCACUUCCCUCGCUUUCAUGUCCGCUUCCGCUCCCACUUUUACUUUCACUUUCACACUUUCACUUCCUCUACAUUCACGCCCACUUCCACUUCUGCUCCCAUUCCCAUUUUUACUUUCACUUUCACUUUCUCACUCACCUUCACUUCCUCAUUCACUUCUACUUCCACUUCCCUUACUUCCAUCUCUGCUUCCGCUCCCACUUUUACUUUCACUUUCACACUUUCAGUUUCACUUCCUCUACAUUCACGCCCACUUCCGCUCUCAUUCCCAUUUUUACUUUCACUUUCACUUUCUCACUCACCUUCCUCAUUCACUUCUACUUCCACUUCCCUCACUUUCAUGCCCGCUUCCGCUCCCACUUUUACUUUCACUUUCUCACUUUCACUUCCUCUACAUUCACGCCCACUUCCACUUCUGCUCCCAUUCCCAUUUUUACUUUCACUUUCACUUUCUCAUUCGCCUUCACUUCCUCAUUCCCUUCUAUUUCCACUUCCCUCACUCUCAGGUCCGCUUCCGCUCCCACUUUUACUUUCACUUUCACACUUCCAGUUUCACUUCCUGUACAUUCACGCCCACUUCCGCUCUCAUUCCCAUUUUUACUUUCGCUUUCACUUUCUCAUUCGCCUUCACUUCCUCGUUCCCUUCUAUUUCCACUUCCCUCACUUUCAGGUCCGCUUCCGCUCCCACUUUUACUUUCACUUUCUCACUUUCACUUCCUCUACAUUCACGCCCACUUCUGCUCCCAUUCCCAUUUUUACUUUCACUUUCACUUUCUCAUUCGCCUUCACUUCCUUGUUCACUUCUAUUUCCACUUCCCUUACAUGUCCGCUUCCGCUCCCACUUUUGCUUUCACUUUCUCACUUUCACUUUCCGCACAUUCACACCCACUUCCGCUUUCAAUCCCAUUUUUACUUUCACUUUCACUUUCUCAUUCGCCUUCACUUCCUCAUUCCCUUCUAUUUCCACUUCCCUCACAUACAUGCCCGCUUCCGCUCCCACUUUUACUUUCACUUUCUCACUUUCAGUUUCGCUUUCUCUACGUUCAUGCCUGCUUCCGCUUUUGCUCCCAUUUUUACUUUCACUUUCACUUUCUCACUCACCUUCACUUCCUCAUUCCCUUCUAUUUCCACUUCCCUUACUUUCAGGUCCGCUUCCGCUCCCACUUUUACUUUCACUUUCUCACUUUCACUUUCACUUCCUCUACAUUCACGCCCACUUCCGCUUCCACCCCCCUUCCCAUUUUUACUUUCACUUUCACUUUCUCAUUCGCCUUCACUUCCUCAUUCACUUCCACUUCCCUCACUCUCAGGUCCGCUUCCGCUCCCACUUUUACUUUCACUUUCUCAGUUUCACUUUCCCUACAUUCACGCCCACUUCCGCUUCCGCUCCCAUUCCCAUUUUUACUUUCACUUUCACUUUCUCACUCGCCUUCACUUCCUCAUUCACUUCUACUUCCACUUCCCUUACUUCCAUCUCUGCUUCCGCUCCCACUUCUACUUCCACUUUCACUUCCUCACUUUCACUUUCUCACUUUCACUUCUCCUACCUUCACUCCCACUUCCGCUUCCGCUCCCAUUCCCAUUUUUACUUUCACUUCCACUUUCUCACUCACCUUCCUCAUUCACUUCUACUUCCACUUCCCUUACUUUCAUCACCGCUUCCGCUCCCACUUUUACUUUCACUUUCUCACUUUUAGUUUCACUUCCCCUACAUUCACGCCCACUUCCGCUCCCAUUCCCAUUUUUACUUUCACUUUCACUUUCUCACUUUCACUUCUCCUCCAUUCACGCCCACUUCCGCUUCCGCUCCCAUUUUUACUUUCACUUUCGCUUUCUCACUCGCCUUCACUUCCUCCCUCACUUCCACUUCCCUCACUCUCGGGCCCGCUCCCACUUUUACUUUCACUUUCACUUUCUCACUUUCACUUCUUCUCCAUUCACAUCCACUUCCGCUUCCGCUCCCAUUCCCAUUUUUACUUUCACUUUCACUUUCUCACUCGCCUUCACUUCCUCAUUCACUUCCACUUCCCUCACUCU